GCAUGCGCAUUGCUGCCCACGCUCUGCGAGCUGAGGUGAGAUCCAUCGAGGCGGCGUGUUCUUUGUGCGGUGAGCUUUCUCGCUAGGAGAAUUCAACUGGGUGAGCUAUGAGUGCCCGAGUCAGAUCCAGAUCCAUGCAAAGAAAUGAUGAUCCAGGGUCUAAACAGCAGGAGCAGCAACCCAGUGAUGAGCAACCUACAAAAAAGGAGGCACCACCAGAGAGUCAGGAUAUUCUACCUGACCAAGGGAAGGAAGUUGAACCAGGACCUGUGGCACAAGGACAGGACCUGGAAGCUGAUCUCCAGGAGCUGCCUCAGGCAAAGGCUGGGGUUAUAACUGAAGAUGACCCUGAUUCAAGGGGCCAAGUCUACCCAUCUUAGAGCCCAUUAAAAUGCCGGAAGCAGGUGAAGGACUACUCCAGAUUUAAACAAGGACAAGCUGAAACAUGCAGACUACUCUUAUGUGGGGUACUUCACUGUUGUAGUUCUCUCAAUAAAGUGUUACAGACGUUCCACAAAGAAUCUU